AUUAGGUUUUGGGGCUAGGGUAAGGUUUGAGGUUUUUGGCAUUAGGGUUAAAAUCACUGUCCAAAACCUUUGUAGGAACUCUUUUCCAACCUUUUGGAGUUAGUUAGACCAAAAAAAAAGAAAAAUGAAAAAAAUAUAUUUUGGGUUUUCGGGCUUCCUGAAGGCAAUACCCGGGAAUCAGUUUCUGGGGCUUUGGAAAGGUUUAAGGUUUUUGGCGUUAGGGUUAAAAUCACUGUCCAAAACCUUUGUAGGAACUCUUUUCCAAGCUUUUGAGUUAGUUAGACCAAAAAAAAAUGAAAAAUGAAAUAAAAAAUAUUUGGAUUGCAAAAAUAUAUCAAGAUCCAAAGAUGGUGUGCGCACUUGUCUGUGGUCAUUUACCAUUAUAAUGAAUGGGAGGCGCAGUUUCUACCAAAACACUUGCUGCAGACAAACUUCAUGACCUAUAUGAAAAAAGUCUGGACCAUGAGUGAGGGCACAAACACAGCUAGUAUAUAUCCAAAUGGCAAGUUGCUCCUC